AAUCAGAAAUGGAGCCUUUUGCAAAUUGGCUAAGAAACUACAAUUCCCAGCAUUCCUAGCUCCCAACUCCCAGCCUCCCUUGGGAGCUACUUGCUUAUAAAAAGGACACAAGAGGGGCUGUUUCUACUAUAUUAUUGUUUGUGUGGUUGGAGGGGUAUGUGCUGUCUGGUCUUUCUUUUGUCUGGAAAACACAGGCGGGUCCCCUGACCUGAUGGUAUUGGUCUCCUGCAAUCAAGUCCCAGCAAAGGUCAGGAGAUGACACUUGGGUGGGUGUGUGGUUAAAUCCACCAGCCCAGAACCCCUGAGCAUCGAGUGGCUCCUCCAUGUCCGGACGCGUCUGGAGUCCCAGAGGCGGCUGACCAAGGAGCUCAAGGCCUGUUUCAAUCUAGCACUGAGCGAGUUCUCCCAGGAGCCGCUUUGUGUCCAGCAAAAUGCCAGGAUGACCAUCCAAAGCGAGACCACGGUGCUGGUCUUUGUGUCUGGCAUGCAGGAGAAUGAAAUAUCCAUCUUCCAUGUGGAAGGGCAAGUCCAGUACAACAUCAAAAUGCCCCGAUGGGACACUUGUGUGGCCAGAGUCUUCAGCAGGAACAUCGUGAAGACCGUGGCAGAGAUGGUCAACUACAUCCCGGCGAUGGUGAAGAUGAUGAUGUAUUAGCUACUGGGUGGGGGGGGGAGGGUUAGCUCUUCGACAAGCCAAGUACAAUGAACAAAACGGGUUAAUUGUGGAAGAGGCUCACAAGCAAAAUGGCCCAGAUUUCCCAUCCCUCAGAUAGUAGAAACCAUUGUUGCUCCAUUGUGGAAGACAUUCAUGGGUGAGAUAUACUGAGUAUAAUUCUAAUGGGUCUUCAGGGGGAUACAAGCGAUGACCCAGAUUCUGCUCUGAGGUUUGCUGGUGUUGGUGGAGUUUGACCUUCUCUGUGAGGGGGCAACCAGAGUGACUCAAGUUGGUGUGACUUAAGGAUCGCCUCCAUUGACAUUGGUGGACUCGCUCUGGAUUCAUCCUGGGUUUCUAGGUCAGGAUUCAGCCCUGUCUAACCGCAAAUGGUGCCUUUUCAGGACUGGAUUCUGACCUCGUUUCCACUGAAAACAGGGUUAAUCCUGAUUUACACCAGCGUAUUCAUUGCUCUAGCCCUCUCCAGCGACCUCUGUCUUCACUGCUACCUUCACUUCCUUUGGAAUGGAGUCUUGUAGCUGUAAUUGCUUCCCUGAGUGGACUUUGGACUCCAAAUGAGCAUCUACUUCUGCUGCAACAGAUCUUAACCCCCUGUAAACUUCCUUUUUGGUUUUAGCAUUUUCCAGGCUACCUGGGUAUCAUUCAGGGGCCCUCAAAUAAAGCUUCAACAUCUGUAGUUUGGA